GGGUGAGUAACACGUGGGUGAUCUGCCCUGCACUUUGGGAUAAGCCUGGGAAACUGGGUCUAAUACCGGAUAGGACUACGCACUGCAUGGUGUGUGGUGGAAAGCUUUUGCGGUGUGGGAUGGGCCCGCGGCCUAUCAGCUUGUUGGUGGGGUGAUGGCCUACCAAGGCGACGACGGGUAGCCGGCCUGAGAGGGUGACCGGCCACACUGGGACUGAGAUACGGCCCAGACUCCUACGGGAGGCAGCAGUGGGGAAUAUUGCACAAUGGGCGCAAGCCUGAUGCAGCGACGCCGCGUGAGGGAUGACGGCCUUCGGGUUGUAAACCUCUUUCGCCAGGGACGAAGCGCAAGUGACGGUACCUGGAGAAGAAGGACCGGCCAACUACGUGCCAGCAGCCGCGGUAAUACGUAGGGUCCGAGCGUUGUCCGGAAUUACUGGGCGUAAAGAGCUCGUAGGUGGUUUGUCGCGUUGUUCGUGAAAACUCACAGCUUAACUGUGGGCGUGCGGGCGAUACGGGCAGACUGGAGUACUGCAGGGGAGACUGGAAUUCCUGGUGUAGCGGUGGAAUGCGCAGAUAUCAGGAGGAACACCGGUGGCGAAGGCGGGUCUCUGGGCAGUAACUGACGCUGAGGAGCGAAAGCGUGGGGAGCGAACAGGAUUAGAUACCCUGGUAGUCCACGCCGUAAACGGUGGGUACUAGGUGUGGGUUUCCUUCCUUGGGAUCCGUGCCGUAGCUAACGCAUUAAGUACCCCGCCUGGGGAGUACGGCCGCAAGGCUAAAACUCAAAGGAAUUGACGGGGGCCCGCACAAGCGGCGGAGCAUGUGGAUUAAUUCGAUGCAACGCGAAGAACCUUACCUGGGUUUGACAUGCACAGGACGCCGGCAGAGAUGUCGGUUCCCUUGUGGCCUGUGUGCAGGUGGUGCAUGGCUGUCGUCAGCUCGUGUCGUGAGAUGUUGGGUUAAGUCCCGCAACGAGCGCAACCCUUGUCUCAUGUUGCCAGCACGUUAUGGUGGGGACUCGUGAGAGACUGCCGGGGUCAACUCGGAGGAAGGUGGGGAUGACGUCAAGUCAUCAUGCCCCUUAUGUCCAGGGCUUCACACAUGCUACAAUGGCCGGUACAAAGGGCUGCGAUGCCGUGAGGUGGAGCGAAUCCUUUCAAAGCCGGUCUCAGUUCGGAUCGGGGUCUGCAACUCGACCCCGUGAAGUCGGAGUCGCUAGUAAUCGCAGAUCAGCAACGCUGCGGUGAAUACGUUCCCGGGCCUUGUACACACCGCCCGUCACGUC
rnacentral:rRNA from 1 species